CUCCCUCCCCUCCCUCCCCCUCCCUCCCCCUCCCCUCCCUCCCAUUACCUCCCCACAGGCUACCCUGUAUCUCUCCUUACUCCCUAUCGUCCCCCUUCCCCCCAACUUCUCUGCAAACCGAGGGAGCAGGAGUAAUGCAGCCGAGCGUGGCCUUUCUGCAGCGAGUCCCACAGACCAGAGAACCUUCCAGAAGAGGUCACGGUGCUCUGCGGCCUAAAGAUGCAGGAGGCCAGAUUGCUCAUUUCCUUCGUUCAAGAGCUCCACUGGGGCCGGUGUGUCUGUCCUCUGCCCCUGGACCGUAACUGGGAGUCGGAUAAGAGCCUCCGCUCCCGUAAUCCCCAGGGAGUCCUCCACGAUGAAGCUCCUGCCGCCGUCCCCGGCCCUGCCCGGGGCACCCUGGCUGCAGUGUGACCACCCAUAGCCAACGUGUGGAAGGAAGUGAGCUUUCCCUUCCCAAACAGUCUCCGGGGGCAUCACUAUCAGCUGACUGGUUCACACCUUGGACAUUGCAAAGUAAAGCACUUGACACCAUCACAAAUUCGCGUGGUUAUGCGCAGGGACCACUCUCCAGGGAGGCAAAAAAAUAGCCCUGGGCUGGGACAGGACGCUGUCCCCCCCCGUGGGAAGCCGUGGUCUAUCUGGGCAUCCAUCUGUCUUCUCCUCCGUGGAGAGAGCGCUGGGCACAGUGACCUCCGAGGUCCAGCCAGCUUGAAACCCGUCACUUGACAACUAGGGGAGAGUUUAAAUGAGUAUGUACUUUUCUCCACCCUCGCCGCAGUUCUUCUUAGUUAGCUUACAAAAUGAGGAAAUCAAACCAAACCUGGACACAAAAUCCCACCCCGGGGUCAAGAUAUUUGUAGAGUGUGUAUCGGCUCCAGCCCUCGACCUUGGCCACCAGUGUCUGUGCUUCCCUCUCCUGAGCAAAUGGUCCUGAUACUCACGAGGGACACAGCUGUUUCCUGCCCACCUUCCACCAGAGUUCUGCAACCUCCGUGCCUGCUGCGUUAACACCUCUCUGGGGGAUGACGGACGGGACAUUGCGGGGAUCGGAGCAAAGGGUUCAGCCCAGCUGUGGAAGGAUGUGCCCUCUCCCCGUCAGCUCCGUCUGGAAUUAACCUCCCGGAGUCAGACUGUUGGGUGCAAAAGAGAAAUGAAACAAUGUAGUCCUUGGAAACUGGACGCCAUGUACCUCCAAGGGUGCGAGAUUCCAGAGGGCAUACGGGCACUGGCUUAGUUGUAUGUUAUCUAGUACAACACGCUGCAUAAUUAGCAACAAAAUAAUCCAAUUUAGCAAAUCUAUGUACCGAGCACGCUGCUAGCUGCCAGGGCUUCAAAUAUAACUAGGUCUCUGGCUUAUUGAUACACUUUCUGGUGGUUUUGACGGUUGUCAGGGAGGAACUUAGUAUUAGAAUUGCUUCAUGGGACAACUUCUUAAGCAGUCACUGGGGUCUUUAAAAGAAUACAAAUCAUUACAUUUAAACUUUAUUUAUUUUAUAAAAGGACAAAAAUAAAUUAAAGUUGUUGAGACUUAAAUGUUUCUUUACCACAAAAGAGAUUAUUCCUCUUAGUAUAAGAGAUCACAGAAGAUUGAGUUCACGUGCACACACGCCUACAGUGGUCUAUACUGUACGUCUCGAUGUUAGGAAGUAUCGAUCGUCUCCUUCCAAAUGCUGCUUCCAUUUUCUCUCUUCUUCCUCUUCAUUUUAUUGUUGUAUUAUUAUUGUUGGUUGAAUUGAGUUUCCCCAAAAGACAUGUCCGAGUCCUAAGCCCUGGUACCUGUGAAUGUGACUUCCUUUGGAAAUAGGGCAUUUGCAGAUGUAAUCACGUUAAAAUGAGGUCAUAUUGGAUUGUAAGUAGUGGGCUCUAAUCCAGUGAUUGGUGUCCUUACAACGAGAGGGACAUUUUGACACAGACACACAGAGGAAAGAAAGCUGCGUGGAGACAGAGGCUGAGGCUGGAGUGGGACGUUUACAAGCCUUGGAACGCCAGGGGCUGUGGGGAGCCACCAGAAGCUGGGAAAGGGGCCUGGAACAGAUCCCCCUCGGAGCCCCCAGGAGGAGCAAAUCCUGCCAUCACCUUGAUCUUGGACUUCUAGCGCCCAGGACUGGGAGACAAGACAUUUCUGUUGUGCCCAGUUUGUGGUACUUUGCUACGGCAGCCCUGGGAGACUAAUACAGUCAUUUUAACAUUG